ensembl:lncRNA
UGUGGUAUUGAACAUGUUGUGGAUAUGUGGUGGUAUUGAACAUGUUGUGGAUAUGUGGUGGUAUUGAACAUGUUGUGUUGUGGAUAUGUGGAGGUAUUGAACAUGUUGUGGAUAUGUGGUGGUAUUGAACAUGUUGUGGUAUUGAACAUGUUGUGGAUAUGUGGUGUUAUUGAACAUGUGGAUAUGUGGUGGUAUUGAACAUGUUGUGGGUAUGUGGAGGUAUUGAACAUGUUGUGGAUAUGUGGAGGUAUUGAACAUGUGGUUAUGUGGUGGUAUUGAACAUGUUGUGGAUAUGUGGUGGCAUUGAACAUGUAGUGGAUAUGUGGUGGUAUUGAACAUGUUGUGGAUAUGUGGUGGUAUUGAACAUGUUGUGGAUAUGUGGUGGUAUUGAACAUGUUGUGGAUAUGUUGUGGUAUUAAACAUGUUGUGUUGUGGAUAUGUGGUGGUAUUGAACAUGUUGUGGAUAUGUGGUGGUAUUGAACAUGUGGAUAUGUUGUGGUAUUAAACAUGUUGUGUUGUGGAUAUGCGUUUGUAUUGAACAUUUUGUGGUAUUGUACAUGUUGUGGAUAUGUGGUGGUAUUGAACAUGUUGUGGAUAUGUGGUGGUAUUGAACAUGUUGUGUUGUGGAUAUGUGGUGGUAUUGAUUAUGUUAUGGAUAUGUUGUGGUAUUGAACAUGUUGUGUUGUGGAUAUGUGGAGGUAUUGAACAUGUUGUGGAUAUGUGGUGGUAUUGAACAUGUUGUGGAUAUGUGGUGGUAUUGAACAUGUUGUGUUGUGGAUAUGUGGUGGUAUUGAUUAUGUUAUGGAUAUGUUGUGGUAUUGAACAUGUUGUGGAUAUGUGGUGGUAUUGAACAUGUUGUGGAUAUGUGGAGGUAUUGAACAUGUUGUGGUUAUGUGGAGGUAUUGAACAUGUUGUGGAUAUGUGGUGGUAUUGAACAUGUUGUGGAUAUGUGGUGGUAUUGAACAUGUUGUGUUCUGGAUAUGUGCUGGUAUUGAACAUGUUGUGGAUAUGUGGUGGUAUUGAAC